ACGUGAGCAAUCCAGCCCUAAUGCUAAUAGCAGGAGUGUGAAAGUAGGUUUUGCAGCCUACUGGUAAGGUUACUAGAGGGCAUGCAAUGUGGUGAGAAACUGUCCUUGGAAGGAGAAAAACAACUCCCAGGAAAAACAACUCCCAGAUGUUCAGUGAGAAACUUACGGGCUUAGGGACGACCAAAGACAGAAGAUUGAACAGGGUCCAAAGAUGAGCUGGAACCGGGACUCUCUUGCUGUUGGUUGCUAGAGCGAUAAAGACAGCUGGAAAAGAGAGGGUAAGCGGGAAAGCCGACCGGAGGGGGGAGUUGCUGUCCCGGCAACUGGAAAAAAAAAGGAGUGCACUCAGAGAAGCCGCGUCAAGGAUUGCGAAGAUUAGCCGCGAUCGUAAAGUCGUGAAGUUUAACCGCGACACAGAUAAAAGGCACGAGGAUUGCGAGGGUUAACCGCAAGUAGCGACGCGAAGCCGCGACGAGGAUCCGCGAGGAAUCUCACCAAAAAGCGCGCAGGUGAGCGGUCGGGGAGGAGAUGGGAGGUUCACUGUCCAAGGAAGAAACGGUGGUGAUAAAGCUCCUCCAACAUAUGCUUUCUAAGAGAGGGUUAACAUUAAAAGUUUUGUUGAAAUGGGCCCGGGAUAGAGGCUUGAUACCGUGAGUGGGAGUUGCUUUUGAACUGCCUACCUGGGAAAAUAUUGGAAGUGCCCUUUGGAAAGAAAUUAGUAAAGGUUCAAAAGAAGCAAUUCUAUUGGCUACAUUGUGGUGACUUAUAAAAGAGACUUUACAAGAAAUGAAAGGUGAGCGAGCGGCAGUUACUUCUGCUUUUGCUGCGUUUUCACCUAUGUCACCAUCUGAGAGACUAUUUGAAAUAAAUAUACUGGGUCCGGCACCGGCGGACUAUCAAUCCGUUCCGUCUCAGCCACCUCAGCCGCCCGUGCCUUUGACGUUAUCUCAAAGUGAAGAAUUAAAGUUAAGGAGGACUCGAAAGUCUCGGGACGGUGGAUUAAAAGGGAGUGAGCCCGAUGAAAAGGGAGUGGCGUCAGUAAUUGAUUUGGACAUUAAAGUUAAUGAGGAGGAACGAGAUAAAUCGGAGAGACCAGCUAGAUUGUAUUCGUCUCUGCCACCUUCACCCCCAGGAAGCCCUACAGGACUGCCUCCAGUAGUUCAACAACGGCUCGACGAGAAACCGCAGGAGACAGCGAGGAAGGUGGAACAGCUCGAAGCAGGCUCGGCGAGCGGGCCGCGCCUAAUUUAUAACUCUAAUUCCCUUUUUGCCCCCAGGACCCUAUUCAUCAUCAGUUUGCCCGCCGACGAUGGUGGGGGGGCUGCCGGCACCAUGGCCGAUGACUCCGCCCGCGCCCUUGUUAGCGGGUGGGGGAGGGGGCGAGGAUCCGACUGUCCGGUGGAGAGGGAUCGAAAGGGAGGUGGUGGCAGACGGACAAGUCUUCCCUUCCGCACUCCCCGUAGUCACGGGACCGGGAGGGGGAGGGCAGUGGGUUGCCUUGGAUUAAAAAAUUUUUAAGGAGACAAAAGCUGUGGUCGCGCAAUACGGGUUGUGUUCACAAUUUACCACCUUUAUUUUACAGUAAUUUAUUAAUACCUUAUGAUUCCCGAAUGAUUAUACAAACUUUGCUGCUGCCAUCCCUAGACAGCCACAGGAUCCAUUAUUUGGGGUCCAGUCACGAAUGUUAAUGGGCAUGGGACCUUUUGUGAGGGCUGAUAUGCAGGCACAAUUUAAUGUAGAAGUGUUGCAGUUAUCCCAGCAACUAGCGUUUCAAGCUUUGCAAAAUGUGCAUCUGCCAGGGCAGGGUACACCUUCUUUUGGUAAUGUUAAACAAGGCAAUGCUGAGCCUUUUGGUAAGUUUGUUGAUCGAUUGCAUGAUGUGCUUAUGAGUAAUCCUGAUUUGGGAUCAGAUUUGAAGGGGAAAUUGCUUGACACAUUAGCCUACGAGAAUGCCAAUGAAAAGACUAAAAGAGCGAAUGGGGUUUUGCCAAGGGGAGCAAGCGCUGCGCAGAUGCUUGAGGCAGCGGAACGCAUGCUGGAAACUGACAAGGCAGCCUAUAUUGCUGCCACUGUUGGGGCAGCGGUUCGGCCACUGCUUAAAAAAAAAAAUGGUAAGCGGCUGGGAAUGUGUAGGAGUCGUAGAAAACGGAAUCUCCCCGCAAGAUAGGUCCGUGCUAAACGUAAUGCAAAAGACUUUGAAACAGCACGGUAGAGAUGGGGCCGCCCGCGAGUGCGGACUGCCCACAACCCCCCCACACACUGACCCGGCCUUCUGGGAAGGAUCCAUCGCCCCAGGGCCGCUCGGCGAGGCGUGACUACACCAGCCGGGACGCCCCCCGCCUGCCUCCUUCCCUCCCUCCUUUCCUUCCCGCCUUCCUUCCCCCUCCCACCCGGCCCUUCCUCUCUCCGCCUGGGCUGCCUUCACCGGUCAUGUUGCCAGAGCAUUGGGAUCUUUUAGUAAUUGAUUUAAAGGAUUGUUUUUUUCACAAUUCCCUUGCACCCCGAGGAUGCAGAAAAAUUUGCUUUUACUGUUCCCUCUAUUAAUAAGUCAGAACCUGCAAAAAGGUAUCAUUGGGUUGUAUUACCGCAAGGCAUCAAAAAUUCUCCAACAAUGUGUCAGAUGUUUGUUGCAUGGGCCUUGGAGCCGGUAAGGCAAAUAUUUGACAGUAUGAAUGAGGACGAGGUUUUGCAAAGAGUCACUAGCAUGUUAGAGCUGAGAGGUCUGAAAGUAGCGCCAGAAAAGGUUCAACAACAUCCCCCGUGGCAUUAUCUCGGAUGGAUAAUUUCAGACAGUACAGUCAGGCCACAGAAAAUAACGCUGACAACAGAUAUCAAAACAUUGAAUGAUGUACAGAAACUAGUAGGAGAUAUUCAAUGGAUCAGAAACAUAUGUGGAAUUACCAGUGAUGAUUUAGGGCCACUGAUAAAACUAUUGGGAACAUCAACCCAAGCAAAUGACUCACGUCAGCUGGGUGCUGAGCAAAAACUGAGUCUUGAAAAAAUUUCCCAAGAAAUUGUUCAAUGCCAUGCAAAUCAAUUAGUGGUCGAAUGUCCAAUUAUGCUUAUGCUUAUAAACUCAGGAAAACAACGUAUGCAUCCCUUUGCGUUGAUUAUGCAAUGGAUUGAUCAACGCCCCAAUCCAUUGAGCAUAUUGGAAUGGGUGUUUCUGCCUUUUAGACCAAAGAAAACAGUAUUAACAAAAGCAGAGGCUUUCGGUCAACUCAUUAUGAAGGGUAGAAUUCAAAUAGUUGAGUUAUCUGGUCAGGAACCGAGUGCUAUAUUUGUACCAUCGAUACAAGAAUAUUCGGAAUGGUUAAUGCAUAUUUUGCCAAAAAUGCAAAUUGCAAUUGCAGGAUUUACAGGGGUAAUUGCUAACAAAUACCCAGCACAUAGAACAAUUACUGUGUUGCAUGAUCAGACCUUUGAAAAGAGAAGUUAUCACUCUGAAACACCAGUAAAGGGCCCCACGAUAUUUACAGAUGCUGGUAGAAAAUCCAAAAAAGCGGCCGUAACCUGGCAAGAACCAGGGGUGUGGAAAGAACAUAUUAUAAAUGGAUGUCAGGAAGAUUCUUUGCAAACGCUCGAACUGAUUGCUGUUGUAUGGGUCUUAACGAACUGGAUAAAUGUUCCUGUCAAUAUAGUAUCUGAUUCUUUAUAUGUGGUGGGAAUUGUCAAAAGAAUAGAGAAUUCGAUGUUAAGGGAAGUAGCAAACAAGAGGCUGUAUGAAAUUCUGUCAACACUUUUGAGAAUUGUAAAUAAUAGACAACAGUUAUAUUUUAUCACUCACAUUCGUAGUCAUCAAGUUGUAGGUGGUCUCGCACAGGGCGACAAUCGUGCGGAUCAACUUGUUGCUCCAGCAUGGACAGGACCACCAGUCAACACUUUUGAGCAAGCUCGGCUAUCACAUGACUUUCUCCAUCAGAAUGCAAAAAUGUUGGCACGACAGUUUCACUUGACGCAAACUAAUGCUCAAGGAAUCGUAAAAUCAUGUCCUGCUUGUCAAAAAAUAGGUUUUAAACUCGGGUUGAGAGUCAGUCCUCAUGGACUAGCACCAUUACAAGUAUAGCAAAUGGAUGUCACGCAUUUUGCUGAGUUUGGAAAACAAAAGUAUGGAUACCUUUUCAAUGGUAAUAUAAGCAACUGCUCAAACUAGAAAAACUGCACGGCAUGUGAUGAAACAUUUAUACGCUUGCUUUGCUGUUUUAGGGUACCACUGUCUAUCAAGACAGAUAACGGUCCUGCUUAUGUCUCUCGUUCGUUUCAACAACUUUGCCUACGAUGGGGUAUUAAGCAUAUUACAGGAAUCCCACAUUCUCCCACUGGACAAGCUAUCGUGGAGCGCAUGCAUCAGACUCUAAAAAACCAACUAUUAAAACAAAAAACGGGGGAGAAUGGUUUGGGGCCGAGCGAACGGCUAGCAAAGACACUGUAUGUGCUGAAUUUUCUGCGCUUAGCAGGAGGACAAGAAGAGCCUCCAAUGAUUGUACAUAGCAGUGUAUUAAAAUCGGGGUAGAGAAAAAGGAGAAAAUUCUUGUUCAAUAUAAAGAUUUAAAAACGGGACAAUGGAAGGGACCUGUCGAGGUACAAAUGACUGGUAGAGGAUAUAUGUGCUUACUUACAGAUGAAGGAUUUCUUUGGAUCCCAGCAAGAUGGGUGAAACCAUGGAUAGAGUCAAACGAAGUGGGCCAGGACUCAUUGUAAUCGCUCGAGCUGUAAUUACUGCACGCGUGUAACUAAAAUUUAAUUAUUUAAUUUGAUUUGAUUUGGCUCUAAACUUUUCUGCAGGAACCUAGGGUCAGGCCCUGUUAUGGUGGCCGACACUGUCGGGGCCUCUCGUCUCCAAAUGAUCAUUUGGCGCCAUCGGGUGAGUUCACCUGGGAUCUUUUGGCAAUAAGAGGCACUGAAAAGAUGAGUCUUAAAUUCCUGCCUAAAUUCUAAAUUCUGGUCUGGUAACAGUGCACUGUAAGGGGUACGCAGGCUGGCCACCGUAAGGCGUACCAGGGGAUGGAUGUGAGUCCCAUCCCCAGGGUUUGAGUGGGUUUUAAGUCCCUAAUGAUGUUAAUGCCUGUAGUGCUAUUCGUCAUAUUGAUGUGUGUUUUGUGGCGUUGUUUGAUAACACUGGUGUCUCGAUCAAUCAAGAGUGUCUGGAUUGCUCAAAGAAAAGAAGGGGAAUUUGUGGAGGAUUUUCUAGAGGAAAACAGACAUGUGAGCAAUCCAGCCCUAAUGCUAAUAGCAAGAGUGUGAAAGUAGGUUUUGCGGCCUACCGAUAAGGUUACUAGAGGGCAUGCAAUGUGGUGAGAAACUGUCCUUGGAAGGAGAAAAACAACUCCCAGGAAAAACAACUCCCAGAUGUUCAGUGAGAAACUUACGGGCUUAGGUAAUUUCUUUGCCUCCUCGGAGACAGUAAAUGCUAUCCAAUCAUAUACUGUUUAGAUGUGUGUGCUAAAUGAACAUGUACCAAUCACUGUAUAGUUUGACUCACGGGAUCACUGUUAAGGCAUAUAAAAGACGCUAUUCGGGCUUAAUAAAGUGUCAGCAUUUAAUCAUA